AAUGUAUUCCCUCCGUUUUAAAUUACUCGUCGCACGUAUGGAUGUAUUUAGAUGUAUUUUAGUUUUAGAUACAUUCAUUUCAGCGACGAGUAAUUUGAAAUGAAGGGAGUACGUA
rnacentral:pre_miRNA from 1 species